GGACCGUGUAUAAGUCUCCUGGGAUGGGGCGUCAUAGAGGGUGAGAAUCCCGUCUUUGACACGGACUACCAGUGCAUUGUGGUAUGCUCUCAAAGAGUCGAGUUGUUUGGGAAUGCAGCUCAAAAUGGGUGGUAAAUUCCAUCUAAAGCUAAAUAUUGGCGAGAGACCGAUAGCGAACAAGUACCGUGAGGGAAAGAUGAAAAGAACUUUGGAAAGAGAGUUAAACAGUACGUGAAAUUGCUGAAAGGGAAACGCUUGAAGUCAGUCGCGUUGGCCGGGAAUCAGCCUUGCUUUUGCAUGGUGUACUUUCUGGUUGACGGGUCAGCAUCAAUUUUGACCGCUGGAAAAAGGCCUGGGGAAUGUGGCAGCUUCGGCUGUGUUAUAGCCCCUAGUCACAUACAGUGGUUGGGAUUGAGGAACUCAGCACGCCGCAAGGCCGGGUUUCGACCACGUUCGUGCUUAGGAUGCUGGCAUAAUGGCUUUAAGCGACCCGUCUUGAAACACGGACCAAGGAGUCUAACAUGCCUGCGAGUAUUUGGGUGGAAAACUCAAGUGCGUAAUGAAAGUGAAAGUUGAGAUCCCUGUCGUGGGGAGCAUCGACGCCCGGACCAGAACUUUUGGGACGGAUCCGCGGUGGAGCAUGUAUGUUGGGACCCGAAAGAUGGUGAACUAUGCCUGAAUAGGGUGAAGCCAGAGGAAACUCUGGUGGAGGCUCGUAGCGAUUCUGACGUGCAAAUCGAUCGU
rnacentral:rRNA from 1 species